CGAGUCGUUUGGGUUCGCUACCAGUGUUGCUGGGUGGGCAGUGGUUCUCUAACAGCUACUGAACGUCACCCAUUUUCGCAGAAAUGAAAAACAGAACCACUUUUAUGUGCACUUGUACAGUUGUAUUGUUAUUUCUUGUGGCUGAAACAAGGUGUGCUUCAAAGAGCAAAGUCAAUGCAAGAAACUGGGGUCCACAAGCAAUGAUGUACCUUAAAGGGCGGU